UUAAGCGACUAAGCGUACACGGUGGAUGCCCUGGCAGUCAGAGGCGAUGAAGGACGUGCUAAUCUGCGAAAAGCGUCGGUAAGGUGAUAUGAACCGUUAUAGCCGGCGAUGUCCGAAUGGGGAAACCCAGUGUGAUUCGUCACACUAUCGUUAACUGAAUAUAUAGGUUAACGAGGCGAACCGGGGGAACUGAAACAUCUAAGUACCCCGAGGAAAAGAAAUCAACCGAGAUUCCCCCAGUAGCGGCGAGCGAACGGGGAGCAGCCCAGAGUCUGAAUCAGCUUGUGUGUUAGUGGAACGGUCUGGAAAGUCCGACGGUACAGGGUGAUAGUCCCGUACACCAAAAUGCACAGGCUGUGAACUCGAAGAGUAGGGCGGGACACGUGGUAUCCUGUCUGAAUAUGGGGGGACCAUCCUCCAAGGCUAAAUACUCCUGACUGACCGAUAGUGAACCAGUACCGUGAGGGAAAGGCGAAAAGAACCCCGGCGAGGGGAGUGAAAAAGAACCUGAAACCGUGUACGUACAAGCAGUGGGAGCCUCUUUAUGGGGUGACUGCGUACCUUUUGUAUAAUGGGUCAGCGACUUAUAUUCUGUAGCAAGGUUAACCGUAUAGGGGAGCCGCAGGGAAACCGAGUCUUAACUGGGCGUUAAGUUGCAGGGUAUAGACCCGAAACCCGGUGAUCUAGCCAUGGGCAGGUUGAAGGUUGGGUAACACUAACUGGAGGACCGAACCGACUAAUGUUGAAAAAUUAGCGGAUGACUUGUGGCUGGGGGUGAAAGGCCAAUCAAACCGGGAGAUAGCUGGUUCUCCCCGAAAGCUAUUUAGGUAGCGCCUCGUGAACUCAUCUUCGGGGGUAGAGCACUGUUUCGGCUAGGGGGUCAUCCCGACUUACCAACCCGAUGCAAACUACGAAUACCGAAGAAUGUUAUCACGGGAGACACACGGCGGGUGCUAACGUCCGUCGUGAAGAGGGAAACAACCCAGACCGCCAGCUAAGGUCCCAAAGUCAUGGUUAAGUGGGAAACGAUGUGGGAAGGCCCAGACAGCCAGGAUGUUGGCUUAGAAGCAGCCAUCAUUUAAAGAAAGCGUAAUAGCUCACUGGUCGAGUCGGCCUGCGCGGAAGAUGUAACGGGGCUAAACCAUGCACCGAAGCUGCGGCAGCGACACUAUGUGUUGUUGGGUAGGGGAGCGUUCUGUAAGCCUGUGAAGGUGUGCUGUGAGGCAUGCUGGAGGUAUCAGAAGUGCGAAUGCUGACAUAAGUAACGAUAAAGCGGGUGAAAAGCCCGCUCGCCGGAAGACCAAGGGUUCCUGUCCAACGUUAAUCGGGGCAGGGUGAGUCGACCCCUAAGGCGAGGCCGAAAGGCGUAGUCGAUGGGAAACAGGUUAAUAUUCCUGUACUUGGUGUUACUGCGAAGGGGGGACGGAGAAGGCUAUGUCAUCCGGGCGACGGUUGUCCCGGUUUAAGCAUGUAGGCUGGUUAUCCAGGCAAAUCCGGAUAAUCAAGGCUGAGGUGUGAUGACGAGGUACCACGGUACUGAAGUGACAGAUGCCCUGCUUCCAGGAAAAGCCUCUAAGCAUCAGGUAACAUUAAAUCGUACCCCAAACCGACACAGGUGGUCAGGUAGAGAAUACCAAGGCGCUUGAGAGAACUCGGGUGAAGGAACUAGGCAAAAUGGUGCCGUAACUUCGGGAGAAGGCACGCUGGUGUGUAGGUGAAGUCCCUGCGGAUGGAGCUGAGACCAGUCGAAGAUACCAGCUGGCUGCAACUGUUUAUUAAAAACACAGCACUGUGCAAACACGAAAGUGGACGUAUACGGUGUGACGCCUGCCCGGUGCCGGAAGGUUAAUUGAUGGGGUUAUCCGUAAGGAGAAGCUCUUGAUCGAAGCCCCGGUAAACGGCGGCCGUAACUAUAACGGUCCUAAGGUAGCGAAAUUCCUUGUCGGGUAAGUUCCGACCUGCACGAAUGGCGUAAUGAUGGCCAGGCUGUCUCCACCCGAGACUCAGUGAAAUUGAACUCGCUGUGAAGAUGCAGUGUACCCGCGGCAAGACGGAAAGACCCCGUGAACCUUUACUAUAGCUUGACACUGAACAUUGAGCCUUGAUGUGUAGGAUAGGUGGGAGGCUUUGAAGCGUGGACGCCAGUCUGCGUGGAGCCAACCUUGAAAUACCACCCUUUAAUGUUUGAUGUUCUAACGUUGGCCCCUUAUCGGGGUUGCGGACAGUGUCUGGUGGGUAGUUUGACUGGGGCGGUCUCCUCCCAAAGCGUAACGGAGGAGCACGAAGGUUAGCUAAUCCUGGUCGGACAUCAGGAGGUUAGUGCAAUGGCAUAAGCUAGCUUGACUGCGAGCGUGACGGCGCGAGCAGGUGCGAAAGCAGGUCAUAGUGAUCCGGUGGUUCUGAAUGGAAGGGCCAUCGCUCAACGGAUAAAAGGUACUCCGGGGAUAACAGGCUGAUACCGCCCAAGAGUUCAUAUCGACGGCGGUGUUUGGCACCUCGAUGUCGGCUCAUCACAUCCUGGGGCUGAAGUAGGUCCCAAGGGUAUGGCUGUUCGCCAUUUAAAGUGGUACGCGAGCUGGGUUUAGAACGUCGUGAGACAGUUCGGUCCCUAUCUGCCGUGGGCGCUGGAGAAUUGAGGGGGGCUGCUCCUAGUACGAGAGGACCGGAGUGGACGCAUCACUGGUGUUCGGGUUGUCAUGCCAAUGGCACUGCCCGGUAGCUAAAUGCGGAAGAGAUAAGUGCUGAAAGCAUCUAAGCACGAAACUUGCCCCGAGAUGAGUUCUCCCUGAGACUAUAAGUCUCCUGAAGGAACGUUGAAGACGACGACGUUGAUAGGCCGGGUGUGUAAGCGCAGCGAUGCGUUGAGCUAACCGGUACUAAUGAACCGUGAGGCUUAACCUU
rnacentral:rRNA from 1 species